UACGUAGGGUGCAAGCGUUGUCCGGAAUUUAUUGGGCGUAAAGAGCUUGUAGGCGGUUUGUCGCGUUCUGCUGUGAAAUUUCGGGGCUCAACCUCGGGUCUGCAGUCGAUACGGGCAAACUAGAGUGAUUGCAGGGGAGACUGGAAUUCCUGGUGGUAGCGGUGAAAUGCGCAGAUAUCAGGAGGAACACCGGUGGCGAAGGCGGGGUCUCUGGGCAACUACUGACGCUGAGGAGCGAAAGCGUGGGGAGCGAACAGG
rnacentral:rRNA from 1 species